CCCAAGCAAAUGAGCCCUGCUGAAGUUCACCAUCUCCACUCAGGUUGCUUCCCUAGGAGACCAGCCUUCACUGGGGGAGAAGACUACCCUGCGGCGGGCUCUUCUUGGUAAGCACAGCAAAGGACAGCCAGCCAUGGCACAGGUCACAGGCAGAAAGGACAGGUUUUACCGGGCAAAGCUGUAUGUCAGCAGACUCCCAGUUUCACCAGGGGUACACCACGUUGGAGCUAGAAGGCUGGAUAACCAGAUGUAUUCGGGGACUUCAGGAUAAUCUUGGCAUCAGUUGUUCUGCUAGAAUCUGGACCAAAGACCACUUCAUGGGAGUCUUUUCCUCAAACUUGUGAUAGGUAUGUUUAAGAACCAGCUGUGAUUCCUGGGUGAGGGGAAUGAGAAGAUAAGCAUCUGUAACUGGUGAGUCUGUAUUGCAGAGGCUGAAGUCCAGCACGUUUUCUCCUGCAGUCUUUAUCUCUGCCCGAAGGCAGACUCCUAAAGAAUGAUCCAGUGGAGAUGUGGACCCUGUAUACUGGGUUUAAGCCUAUUGACAAAGCAUGGGCUCUUUCCAGUCAUGUUUUACAUGGCUUGCUCAGAAGCAGCCCUUAGUUACCUGGCAAUCUACCACAGAAAAUUCUCACCAUCUACUUUUGGAAUAGUCAAUAGUUUGGCUAAUAAGAAAUUUCUUUGGAUCACCUAGCUGAUGUGACACAAUUAUUCUACUUGGAGAUAGAAGACACGCUGCUUUUAUGUCUGAAUUGAAAUGCCCUUCCCAGACUAUGACUUGAAGGGAGACUGAUGAUAGUUGUACAAGAAACCUUUUGGAAGACUCUCUGGUCCUUGGAUUAUUCCAUGAGCUUGAAGCUUUUCUUGGAUUAGAGUAUCUUCCCAGGAAACUGAUGGUGGUGUGGGAGUUUAUCUGCGAGAGUGGAUUGCAUGUCUGAGGUUCUGUGACCGUUUUGUUCCAAAAAUGAUGUGUUUAAAAAUAAAUAAGGUAUCUAACCCACUUCACUCAGUUUUCUUCCAGUGGGAAGCUGACCUGUGAACCUUGGAUUUUUCCUAUACCUCAGUCAAGGGACAAACAAAUUUAAUUUCACAGAUAGAGCUAUCUUUAUUACUGCUACAUCUAAAAUAGAGCAAUGUAUGGGGUUUUAUUUGAUCAGUCAUUUCAAUCUCUCCAAGCUACCAUUAUGGCUUUCUGUGAAAGCCUGUAAAAAUUAAAAUAUCUUAGACAAAAAUAACACUCCCUCAUUCUAACACCAUGGAGUGUCUCAGUACAUGUUUUGCACAUCCUCUGAGGCUGUAUCAACAAUUCGAAACAGGCUGCAGUAAAAGGGAAAUCAUAAAAAUAAGCAGUGUUUACUGUCUUGACCUGUAUCCUCUGAGGCUUCUGAUGUGUACUGACCAAGGAUAAUCUGCAAUGCUCAUAGGAUAAAAUAGUGGGCAUUAAAGGUCGUGCAGUGACUGUCGAGGUCAAAGCCAGUUCUGCAAAAGAAACGCAUUGAAUCCUUGUUCUGUUAAACUUUUUCACAAAACCUGAUAGCAAAGAGCAGCUUCUUGGUUCUUUUUCAGGUGUACUGUACAGAUUUCAAGUUUCUUCUAAUACACAGUAAUAAAAUAUGUACAUAUAGGAUUUGUGAUAGAAGAGCAUUUUGCAGUCUCUUGGUGUGAACAUGUACAACUUCAUCAAAAUAAACAAGGUGUAUGUUAUGCUCUGAGAGCUAAGGGACUUUUUGUUUAAAACCAUCUUUCCUAAAAUCCCCCUGCCUUAAAGACUAUGUUAAUACGUAAAGAUAUUUCUCUUCUGGGCAAACCACUGUAAAAUGCACUUUUUCAGACUAUUUCUUUUGAGAUUCAACAUAUGCCUUCACAAGGUAGUCUUUCGUAUGCCACGCAGGACGGUAACACCUUCGAACAACAAAAAGACAACCAGAGGUCUCCUGCUGAACCGGCAGCAUUGACACCAUUGCAGGUCAAACAUAUCACCAAGAUAACCCUCUUUUCUUACUUUUUAAAAA